GUGCCAGCCGCCGCGGUAAUACGGAGGGUGCAAGCGUUAAUCGGAUUCAUUGGGCGUAAAGAGUGCGUAGGCGGGGAGGUAAGUUAGAUGUGAAAGCCCGGGGCUCAACCCCGGUCCCGCGUCUAAUACUGCCUCUCUAGAGGAUAGGCGGAGAAAAGGGAAUUCCACAUGUGGCGGUGAAAUGCGUAGAUAUGUGGAGGAACACCGGUGGCGAAGGCGCUUUUCUAGCUUAGACCUAACGCUGAGGCACGAAAGCGAGGGGAGCAAACAGGAUUAGAUACCCUGGUAGUCCUCGCCGUAAACGAUGUACACUUGGUGUAGACGGUCUCAACCCCGUCUGUGUCGGAGCUAACGUGUUAAGUGUACCGCCUGAGGAGUACGCUCGCAAGGGUGAAACUUAAAAGAAUUGACGGGGGCCCGCACAAGCAGUGGAGCAUGCGGUUUAAUUCGAUACAACGCGAAGAACCUUACCCAGACUUGACAUGUACUUGACAGCGGUAGAGAUAUCGUCUUCCGAAAGGACAGGUAGACAGGUGCUGCAUGGCUGUCGUCAGCUCGUGCCGUGAGGUGUUGGGUUAAGUCCCGCAACGAGCGCAACCCUUAUCACUAGUUGCCAGCACUUAGGGUGGGAACUCUAGUGAGACUGCCUGGGUUAACCAGGAGGAAGGUGAGGAUGACGUCAAGUCAGCAUGGCCCUUAUGUCUGGGGCGACACGCGUGCUACAAUGGCCAGUACAGAAGGCAGCAAUAUCGUAAGGUGGAGCAAAUCCCAAAAACUGGCCUCAGUUCGGAUUGUAGUCUGCAACUCGACUACAUGAAGUUGGAAUUGCUAGUAAUGGCGCGUCAGCCACAGCGCCGUGAAUACGUUCUCGGGCCUUGCACACACCGCCCGUC
rnacentral:rRNA from 1 species